rnacentral:rRNA from 1 species
GUAGGUGACAAGCGUUGUCCGGAUUUACUGGGCGUAAAGAGCGCGCAGGCGGUCGACCAAGUCGAGUGUGAAAGCCCCCGGCUCAACUGGGGAGGGUCAUUCGAUACUGAUCGACUCGAAGGCAGGAGAGGGUAGUGGAAUUCCCGGUGUAGUGGUGAAAUUCGUAGAUAUUGGGGGGAACACCCGUGGCGAAAGCGGCUUUCUGGCACGAUACUGACGCUGAGGCUCGAAAGCGUGGGGAGCAAACAGGAUUAGAUACCCUGGUAGUCCACGCUGUAAACGUUGUGCACUAGGUGUGGGAGGUAUCGACCCCUUCCGUGCCGCAGCUAACGCACUAAGUGCACCGCCUGGGGAGUACGGUCGCAAGACUG